AAAAUCUUAGGAAAGUAGCGAAGCACAUGAUGACGGCUUCCAGGAAAAGCUUCUGGCAAUGCAUAUGCGGCCCGUACCAAAACCGACACAGGUGGGCAGGGAGAGAAUCCCGAGGUGAGCGAGAGAACUGUUGCCAAGGAACUCGGCAAAAUGACUCCGUAAGUUAGCGAGAAGGAGUGCUUAAGCAAUUAAGCCGCAGUGAAGAGGCCCAAGCGACUGUUUAACUAAAACACAGCUCUCUGCGAAGUCGCAAGACGAAGUAUAGGGGGUGACACCUGCCCGGUGCUGGAAGGUUAAGAGGAUCUGUUAAGAGCGAUCUGAAGCAGUGAUCCGAAGCCCCAGUGAACGGCGGCCGUAACUAUAACGGUCCUAAGGUAGCGAAAUUCCUUGUCAGGUAAGUUCUGACCCGCACGAAAGGUGUAACGAUUUGGGCGCUGUCUCGGCAGCAGACUCGGUGAAAUCUUAGUACCUGUGAAAAUGCAGGUUACCCGCAACUAGACGGAAAGACCCCAUGGAGCUUUACUGCAGCCUGAUAUUGAAUUCUGGUCAUACAUGUACAGGAUAGGUGGGAGACAAAGAGACGUGCACGCCGGUGUACGAGGAGUCGACGUUGGGAUACCACUCUUGUGUGACUGGGGUUCUAACCUGGUAUCGAGAACAGGUACGGGGAGAGUGUCAGGUGGGCAGUUUGACUGGGGCGGUCGCCUCCCAAAGAGUAACGGAGGCGCCCAAAGGUACGCUCAGAUUGGAUGGAAAUCAAUCGUCGAGUGCAAUUGCAGAAGCGUGCUUGACUGUGAGACAGACAAGUCGAACAGGGACGAAAGUCGGGAAUAGUGAUCCGGCGGUGCCGAAUGGAAGGGCCGUCGCUCAACGGAUAAAAGCUACCCUGGGGAUAACAGGCUGAUCUCGCCCAAGAGUUCACAUCGACGGCGAGGUUUGGCACCUCGAUGUCGGCUCAUCGCAUCCUGGAGCUGGAUUCGGUUCCAAGGGUUGGGCUGUCCGCCUAUUAAAGCGGUACGCGAGCUGGGUUCAGAACGUCGUGAGACAGUUCGGUCCCUAUCUGUUGUGGGCGAAGGAGAUCUGCGGAGAGCUGUCCUCAGUACGAGAGGACCGGGAUGGACCUACCGCUGGUGCACCGGUUGUUCCGCCAGGGGCAUAGCCGGGUAGCUAAGUAGGGAAAGGAUAAGCGCUGAAAGCAUCUAAGCACGAAGCCUACUCCAAGAUGAGAUCUCCCAUUCGCAAGAAGUAAGACCCCUUAAAGACGAUAAGGUAGAUAGGCCAGGGAUGGAAGUGCAGUGAUGUACGGAGUUGACUGGUACUAAUCGGUCGAGGACCUAA
rnacentral:rRNA from 1 species